ACGUUAACGAUUUGAUCCAUUUAUCUACAAUUUCAUAUAAAGGAAAGAAAUUUAGAAUCAAAGAACACACUGCUUUAAUAAUCAACCAUGCAAGAAUCUUGCUCCUCUUGUCCUCUAUCAAGAUUAAACAUCUUUAAAAGAGACCUUAUCAUCAAACUAAUUAUCCACUACCGGACUUAAUUCGUCUAUGUUACUGAUUUGUUUGAAUUAGUAUGUUCAAAUCUUAAUGUUACAGGAAACGACAAAAAAUA